GAUGAACGCUGGCGGCGUGCCUAAUACAUGCAAGUCGAACGAAACUUCUUUAUCUUCGUGUGCUUGCACUCUCCGAUACAGGGUUGUGUGGCGUACGUGUGCUUAACACGUGGGCAACCUGCCUAAAAGAGGCGGAUAAUACUAGGACACAGGUGCUAAUACUGCAUAAUCAUAGUUACCGCAUGGCAACUAUUUAAAAGGUAGCUAUACCACCGCUUUUUGAUCUGCCGGCGGGGAAUUAGCUAGUUGGUAGGGUAAAGGCUUACCAAGGCAAUGAUGCGAAGCCGAAUUGAGGGGUGGAUCGCCCACAUUGGGACUGAGAACCGGCCCAACCUCCUACGGGAGGCAGCAGAAGGGAAUCUUGGACAAGGGGCGAAAGCUUGCUGGAGCAAGGCGGGGUGGGUGAAGAAGGUCUUCGGUUCGUAAAACCCUGUUGUUAGGGAAGAAAGUGCGUGGGAGUAACUGUUCACGUUUCGACGGUAUCUAACCAGAAAGCCACGGCUAACUACGUG
rnacentral:rRNA from 1 species